rnacentral:piRNA from 1 species
UCCUACUGGACCAGGGCCAUACCCUUA